UUAUCAUAAAUGUACCAAUUUGGGAUUUUUUGUGAUAUUAACCCAUAAAAUUACUUGUUCUAAGAAAAUAGUGGAGAAUCUAUUUAUACGUUUUCAGUCGAAACGGCGCGCCUCAAAAUAGUAAAGGAAGCCUCAUCUCUUCGAAUUUGCCCCGUGCAAAUUUACAAUGCAGGGGCCGACCGCUUCGAAUUCAAGGGCAUUUGUCAACGGGGAAGGAAAAGGCCCCAAAUCGAAGACUCCGAUCGGUCUAACCGAUCUUGAACUUGGACUUGCUCGAAGCCCCUAAUCUCCUGAUUUAGCUCGCGCUCGCCGAGGAGGAGGCUUUCUCUGCUGCUCCUUUCCAAAGAACGGUGGUAUCUUGAGUCCCAAAACGACCCACAGCAGGCUUUUGUUUCGAUUCCAGAAGCGAUCGAGUCGAGGACAUCCGCCAAGGAAAGAUUGUAAUGGUGGGAGAAGAUGAGGAGAGAGAGUAUUGGGGUUGUUUGUGGGAGCGUGAUGGAGGAAAGUAUUUGGAGCGCUUGCGACUUCCUCCUUUGAUGGUGAGUCAGAACCAUGAAGCUGAUGAAGUACGUGGGGGCUUUAAAGUUAUGGCUUGAUUAUUGCCGACAGAGUCCCUCUAGUAACUCCCAUGACUAAGGAGAACAAGAGAUACUCGCAGACGAAACGCUCCAAGAUGUGGCACAUCUAUGGAGCAGAAGCCAAUGGCCGCUUCUUCAGCAAUCUCAUCAGCAAAAACGGCGAGCCCAGCAGUACUGUUUCUUCUGAUCCAGCUGUGUCCGACUCAUAGGAGCUGCUGCAUAGUUCGACUGCUGAUGUUCUAUUUGGGGGGAUACAAGCAAGUUUACUGACAGAUGGAAUGAUACAAGCAGCAACAUUGGGAUACCUGCUGACCAUGAGUUCUGGAAAUUUUAUGGCAAUUCAGUUUUAUAAUUAUUGUAAGACUCAUUAUUGUUCUAGUGAUGUCAUUCAUCCAUUUUGUAAGGCGAAAAGGUGAAAGACUAGCCCUCUUGUUGAAACUUCCUUUUGUGUUAUUGAUGGCUUGCAAGAUUUAUCCUC